rnacentral:pre_miRNA from 1 species
AGUAAGAUUAUUUUUCAGUUUUUUGAUACAGUGUUUUGACUCUUCGUCUUAUUUGAAAUUUUUUACGAUUAAUAUUUUUAUUCUUACUGUAUAAUAAAACAUGAAUAGUAUUUUAUGUGUGACUAAUUUUUUUAAAUUUUUAUAUAAAUUUUUCAAAUAAGACGAAUGGUCAAACGUUAGGCACGGAAAAAC